UUUUUAGAUUUUUGGGUGAUAGUUUUGGAUAGAAAAGAGGAGAGAAGAAACUAGGAGCCUGCUAGGAGGUGGAAGAGAAAGGCAAAAGGCAAAAGUUGGAAGAAACUUGCAUUCAUCACCACUCUUCUGUUGGCAUACGCAAUCACCACACUUUGAACUACAAAUAGGGUACCCUAGUCCUGCGCUUCAAAGCAUUCCAACACAAGCAAAUCAAGUAAUCUAAUUGAUAAAGUAUUGGUAGCAAGUGAGCAAAGAUGGAGAUGAAGAAAGUGAUGAUCAUGAUGGUGAUGAUGAUAGUGAUGAUGAUGAGCGUGUGUGUGGAGGGUGAUCCAACAUGCAGUCCAGCUGGAAGGUUCUUCUGCAACUCAGGGAGGUGCUGCAGUAAGUACAACUGGUGUGGGAGCACUGCAGACUACUGUGCAAAGAACAACUGUAUUGCUCAGUGCUGGCCUGGUGUCAAAUCCCUCAACUACACAACAUCUCUUCUCACAAUAACUAACCACACCACACCUCUCCACAAUAAUCCUUAGAUAGAGAGUGUUGCAAAAUAAAGCAUCUUUAAAAGUAAGAGUAUCUAGACUUAUCGCUAGAGCAAGGGUGAAAAAUGAAGCAUGUUAACAGUAAUGCUCGGGUUUUUCAAAUCAAUCAAAAAGUGUUUAGUUAUUUCCUCUUUUUAA